rnacentral:rRNA from 1 species
AGCGAACGCUGGCGGCAUGCCUAACACAUGCAAGUCGAACGAACGUUUCGGGGGUAUUCGCGGACGGGGGAAGAACACGUGGGAACGGUCCUUUAUGGUCGGAAUACCUCAGGGAAACGGGUGCUAAUACCGAAUGGGACCUUCGGGGGGAAGAUUAAUUGUCUUUAGAGCGGCACGCGUCUGAUUAGCUAGUUGGGUGAGGUAAUGGCGCACCAGGGCGACGAUCGCUAGAUGGUCUGAGAGGGGGAUCAGCCACAUUGGGACUGAGACACGGCCGAAAAUCCUACGGGAUGCAGCAGUGGGGAAUCUUGCGCAAUGGGCGAAAGCAUGACGCAGCCAUGCCGCGUGAAUGAUGUAGGUCUUAGGAUUGUAAAAUUCUUUCACCGGGGACGAUAAUGACGGUACCCGGAGAAGAAGCCCCGGCUAACUUCGUG